ACGGAUGAUGGCGACUACCAGAUCAAGCUGCGUAACCUCCGCAGAUUUCUGGAAGACGGCGACAAGGGCAAAGUCAGCCUCCGCUUCCGCGGGCGGGAGAUUACGCACCAGGACAUCGGUAUGCGUGUGCUCGAACGUGUGAAGGCCGACGUGGAAGACGUCGGUCAGGUCGAGCAGAUGCCGAAGCUCGAAGGGCGUCAGAUGAUCAUGGUCAUCUCGCCGAAGAAGAAAAAGUAAGAGGCGUGGCGUGUCGCCCCAAGUGGGCGGCGCGGCACACCGUGAGAAGUACGUUCCCGUCCCUUGUGGUGGUGAACAAACCUGCGGCGCAAGCCGUAGUGGCGA
rnacentral:misc_RNA from 1 species